rnacentral:rRNA from 1 species
GACGAACGCUGGCGGCGUGCUUAACACAUGCAAGUCGAACGAUGAACCCGGAGCUUGCUCUGGGGGAUUAGUGGCGAACGGGUGAGUAACACGUGAGUAACCUGCCCUGGACUCUGGGAUAAGCGUUGGAAACGACGUCUAAUACCGGAUAGGACCUUGGAUCGCAUGAUCUGGGGUGGAAAGUUUUUUCGGUCUGGGAUGGACUCGCGGCCUAUCAGCUUGUUGGUGAGGUAAUGGCUCACCAAGGCGUCGACGGGUAGCCGGCCUGAGAGGGUGACCGGCCACACUGGGACUGAGACACGGCCCAGACUCCUACGGGAGGCAGCAGUGGGGAAUAUUGCACAAUGGGCGAAAGCCUGAUGCAGCAACGCCGCGUGCGGGAUGACGGCCUUCGGGCUGUAAACCGCUUUUAGUAGGGAAGAAGGGCUUCGGCUUGACGGUACCUGCAGAAAAAGGACCGGCUAACUACGU